rnacentral:rRNA from 1 species
UACGAGGGGAGCAAGCGUUGUUCGGAUUUACUGGGCGUAAAGGGCGCGUAGGCGGCCACGACAAGUCACUUGUGAAAUCUCCGGGCUUAACUCCGAAACUGCAUUCGAUACUGCGGUGCUUGAGGACUGGAGAGGAGACUGGAAUUCAUGGUGUAGCAGUGAAAUGCGUAGAGAUCAUGAGGAAGACCAGUGGCGAAGGCGGGUCUCUGGACAGUUCCUGACACUGAGACACGAAGGCCAGGGGAGCAAACGGG